AGUCAGCAGGCUAAGUGAGAGUGAGAGAACCUGAUUGGCACUCCCAGCUAGGUCUCACUGUCACUGGGAACUAGCCUGGCUCUGGGAGGUGGACUAUAGUCUUCUGUUUUACAAGAGCAAGUUCCUAAAGUGACAGAUUGGCCAGGGUUUUUCUGUUGACCAUAACAGAUCAAGACAUAAACAAGAGCCCUCUGAGUCAUGUCUGACCAAAGGUGAAAACCUGAACAUCACCCAGACCACAAAAAUGGCCAAACAUCCUUUCUUGCUCAUCUGAGAGAGUUCUGGUUCAUGUCCAGUUAGAACCGCAGCCUCCUCCUUUUCUAGUUUGUGAAAGACUAGACUGGAACCAUGCCCCCCUCUAGGGGAAGACGGAAGGACCUGGACCGGCCUGAUCAUUUCCUGGAAAGAUUGACUCCGACGAGUUGAACAAGGAUUGGUG